GCCGCCGCCGCCGGUAUCUUUCCGGAAGGAUUGGCGAUUCGCGAGCGGCGUGCGAUCCCCCCGGCAAUCCCUCCCGGGCGGGGGAGAGAUCGUCACCUGGACCGUCGCCGCGGCGCGCGCCCCUCCGCCGCCGCGAGUGGAAAUCGCAGACGAAACGCGAGCGUUCGAACCGUUAUACAACCGUUCGAACCGUUUCUCCAAGUUCGCUCGUGGGAAACGUCGUCGGGUCCAAGACGUCCCGGGCGCCGCCGUCGGUCGGUCUUGCCCGGUCGGUUUUUUUUUCAGCCCGGAGCCGCGCCUGCUCGCGCGCCGGUCGCGUCGAUCCGCGUCGCAUCGCGUCCGGGUCCGUCGCGUCACCGCGCGCUUCGCUUCGCUUCGCUUCACUCCUGAUCCAUCCCCCCCGGCCGCGCCCACAGUUUCACGAUCCCCCCCGCGCACGCGGUGACUACGCCGUCCGCGUUGAAGAGCACCUCCGUCGUCGGCUCGUCGUGGAGCUUCCGCGACACGACGGGCGAGAGGCGGUUGUGGACGUCGCCGCGGCACGCCGACGGCGCGAUGACCUGCCC
rnacentral:lncRNA from 1 species